ACUGUCAACGCUGUCACUGAAACUGAUUUGUUUUUUAACGGCUUGCUCGCAUUGAAUAGCGGAUGCGGUUUUUUCUUUUUAAAAUAGGCGCAUGCGUAUGGCCGAUUUCAUCAGUAAUGAUUUUGAUUGGCCGAGGAAACCUGGAAAAGGGAACUUCAGGUGACGACUAGAGGACUGUGCACAAAUCACAAUAAAGAGCGCCAUUUACAAAGUAUCUGGGAGUAUAGAAGAAGGCAAGACGCUUUCCGAAAGCGAAACGACUAAAACGGAUUAUAGCUGCAGCCUGUGAGUUUGAAGUGACAAAAAGUAAAAUGGACCUAUAACAGGUGGCGGCAUCCUGACCGUGCCUUCAUAUGUGUGGUUUCUGAAAUACUUCUUCGUGGAGGAAGAAGAGAAAAAAGUUACGGUUCCCAAUGGUUCCAUGGCUUGUGGUAGCUUUCCUAACUCACUGCAAUAUCCAAGAAAGGAAAAGCUGAUAAAGUGGGAAGAUGGUUUUAAUAGAGACACAAGGCAGGAUAUACAGUUGUGGUGAGCAUGAAGCACUGAGAAACACCCCUUGAGGGCAACUGUCUCCACCCCAUCCAGUCAGGGACCUAUAAAAAACCAGAUGCC